rnacentral:rRNA from 1 species
GUCCACGCCCUAAACGAUGAUGACUAGUUGUUGGGGGAGUUAAAUCCCUUAGUAACGCAGCUAACGCGUGAAGUCAUCCGCCUGGGGAGUACGGUCGCAAGAUUAAAACUCAAAGGAAUUGACGGGGGCCCGCACAAGCGGUGGAUGAUGUGGUUUAAUUCGACGCAACGCGAAAAACCUUACCUACCCUUGACAUGUGCGGAAUCCUGCAGAGAUGCAGGAGUGCCCGAAAGGGAACCGCAACACAGGUGCUGCAUGGCUGUCGU